AUCUUUGUGCUUGGGGCAAUGACGCAGCUAGUGAGGUAAAACCGAGGCGCGUCAAUUGCUGGUUGAAAACUAUUUCCAACCCCCCUCGUUCGACUGGGCUACGCUUUGGCCUUCGAGAAUUUUUGGAGGGUCUUCCUUUGGC
rnacentral:snRNA from 1 species